GAUGAACGCUGGCGGCGUGCCUAAUACAUGCAAGUCGAGCGAACAGACCCGGCGCUUGCUCCUUUGACGUUUGCGGCGGACGGGUGUAUAACACGUGGAUAACCUACCUAUAAUUCUGGGAUCACCUCGGGACACCGGAUCUUAUCCCGGAUAAUCUCUUGCACCGCGUUGUGCAAUAGUAAAUUUCGGUUUUUCUGUCUCUUAUAGCUGGAUCUCGGCCGCAUUAGAUAGUUGGUACGGUCACGGCUUACCAAGGGAACGAUGCGUAAGCGACCUGAGAGAGUGAUAGGCCACACGGGAGCGGAGACACGCUCCAGACUCCUAAGGGAGGCAGCAGUAGGGAAUCUUCCGCAAUGGGCGAAAGCCUGACGGAGCAACGCCGCGUGAGUGAUGACGGUCUUCGGAUCGUAAAACUGUGUUACUAGGGAAGAACAAAUGUGUAAGUAACUAUGCACGGCUUGACGGUACCUAAUAAGAAAGCCCCGGCUAACUACGUG
rnacentral:rRNA from 1 species